UUGGGUCUGACAGAUUAAUGGAAUUGGUUCGUGGGUCAGUCGCUGCUGCCACAUGGGACCGCUAUAACAAGGUUUGGAGGGAAUGGGACGGGUGGGAGAGGUCCAAAGGGGGCUUCCGGGACUCGGCCACUCGUCUGCAGGGUCUGGUUCUUCUCUUGGGGGAAUGGGAGGCCGCUGGGUUGUCUCCCUCAGCCAUUUCGCUGCGCUUGACAGGGCUCGGCUUCCUGUUUAAGUUGCAGGGUUGGGAA